GUGAGGAAUUUUCCGCAAUGGGCGAAAGCCUGACGGAGCAAUGCCGCGUGAAGGAUGAAGGCCUAUGGGUUGUAAACUUCUUUUCUCAGAAAAGAAUUAUGACGGUAUCUGGGGAAUAAGCAUCGGCUAACUCUGUGCCAGCAGCCGCGGUAAGACAGAGGAUGCAAGCGUUAUCCGGAAUGAUUGGGCGUAAAGAGUCUGUAGGUUGUUUAAAAAGUAUUAUGUCAAAGAUUAGGGCUUAACCCUAGAUAGGCAGAAUAAACUUUUAAGCUAGAGUUUGGUAGAGGCAGAGGGAAAUCCCCGUGGAGCGGUGAAAUGCGUAGAUAUCAGGAGGAACACCAAAGGCGAAGGCACUCUGCUGGGACAAUACUAACACUGAGAGACGAAAGCGAGGGGCGCAAAUGAGAUUAGAAACCCUAGUAGUCC
rnacentral:rRNA from 1 species